rnacentral:rRNA from 1 species
GACGAACCGUGCGAACGUUGUUCGGAAUCACUGGGCUUAAAGGGCGCGUAGGCGGGCGACCCAGUCGGGGGUGAAAUCUUUCGGCUCAACCGGAAAAUAGCCUUCGAUACUGGUUGCCUGGAGGGGGGUAGGGGCGUGUGGAACUUCCGGUGGAGCGGUGAAAUGCGUUGAUAUCGGAAGGAACUCCGGUGGCGAAAGCGACACGCUGGACCCCGCCUGACGCUGAGGCGCGAAAGCCAGGGGAG